rnacentral:lncRNA from 1 species
CUCAAAUCACAUAAUUUUACUUGUCACAAUCACUCUUUACCUCGCCUUACCUUACCCACCUCCAUCACACCAUUGUCGGUACUACUUGAAUCGUCGUAGUCACCUCAAAUCUACAACCAUCACCUUCACCAUAGAUCCACUACCAUAUUUCCCACCAUUUCCAUUACAUGCACUUCAAAUACAUAACAACCACCACCUUUGCCUCCAAUCCACCGCCACAAUAUGAACCGCUGUCAUAAAAACCCAUGAAAAAAGAGAACAAAAAAAAAAAAAAAUUAAAAAUGACACACUUGUCUACAGUUCUACAGAUCUCGCUAUUUAUCUGGUAGCACAGGACUUUCAAGACAUACACGUAUCUUUCUAGCAACAAGCACAAGAGAAAUGUAUUUUGCAUCUCUAAUAUCCCUUUCAUACAAGAAGAGCUUUGAAGCUUCCUUUACAAAGGUAGCUCAUGACCAAGAGAAGCUCGAAUUUGAUCCGAGUUCCAGGACAAAUCGAAAGCCUAACUUGAAUUUCACAAUAUUCUAAACCAUGAACCUAUCUUGAUUGCAUCUCAUAGGAUAAAUGCCUUGGUAAUGAGCCUCAUAGUUUUGGGAUUUAAUGGGGAAGUCAAAAGCCAACUACAACAUCAAAGAAGCCAACGAUAAAUGGGAAUCGGAGACCAAGCCCACCACGAGCUUUCUACAUGACCUUGAGGAGGUUAAUCUCUUGGUGGGCAAGAGUGCUUGCACCAUAGUGGAGGACGAAAGUAUUUUCAAACUUUUUCCACAAAGUCGGAGACAAUCGAUUCAGUACCGAGGAGAAGAGAAUGAAAC